rnacentral:lncRNA from 1 species
UUUCAACUUGCCCUUUGCAAAAUGCCUUUUUGUUUCUUAUAAAGGGGUGAUCAAUAGGCAAGAACCAUCGAUGACAAUCAAACCAACUACUUUUCCGACCAUAACUACAUUGGAAUGACUUCGUAUGUUUCAUGCAAUGUGGACAAGCUAAUCGACCAUGCAAGCUCCAACCAGAUAACAUGCCAUACGCUGGAAAGUCAUUAAUAGUCCACAUCAAAGCUGNCCUCAUAAGGAAAUUUUGCUUCCUUGAAACAUCAUACGUCCAAACACCAUUCCAUAGCUUCUUCAAAUCAUCAAUCAGAGGCUCC